rnacentral:lncRNA from 1 species
CGGCAAUUUAGGAUUUAUUUUAUACUUUUAUGAUAAAUAACAAGUGUAGAUUGUAUCGUUUUUGCAGGGUCCUUAGGGAGGGUUCUAAAUCCAGUUGCAUGCUUCCAAAAUUCCCCUUAGAGUGAAUUACUCACUCUACUCUCUUGUCAGCUUUUGUCCACAGAAAAGCUUGUUCCUCAAGGAGUCAGCCCUGAGAUGCACUUCCCCUCAGGGGUACCCUGAGAGGCAUCCUGGCUCAAGGGGAGAUUGAGGGUGCAGUCCACUGUGGUCCCUGGAAAGCUCAAAGGGCUUAGGACUACUUAGUUGCUACUAAGCAACUAGUUGCUUAGGACUACCAUUCAUAGGACUGUGAGACAACUGUUAAUACUUUUCCAUCCUGGCUACUGUUCAGAUAAGGCAAUUUUGGUAUUUUUCAUCAAUUCUGCUAUUCCCAUACCUUCCAGAAUGUACAGUUGUGGUACUCCCCAGAUCAGGCUACUGUCCAGGCUGCAGGUUUGGAGAUGCAAUCAGGGAGUGCCUGCUCAUACUCACCUGUUAUGGACAUUGUCCAUUGACAAUGGAGGACUGAUGUAACAUUAAUCAAUCUUGAACCAUAGCUGACUUGGGGGAAAGGCUACCCCACCACAGAGAUCAAGGGUUACAGCCUGCUGUGAUCCCUGGAGAGCUCAAAUUGGCUUUUCUUCAGUUGCUACAAGUUCAGGUCAUUGGCUCAUAGUCAAACUCAGGUUCCUUACCAUGUUCUGGAACUCUGAUGUGCAAGAAGCAGUCCCAUCAAGGCCUACUGUGGUUUAUAAGCCUGAGCAAGACUUAGAUCAAGUGCGGGAGUAUAGUGAACCCAUCACAGAGCCAAUGCACUUCAGUUUUGAAGAUGAGAAAAUCCGUUGGCAGUCUUGACAGAAAGAGGAAACAUGCAGAGCAGAAGCAUUGCUUGCUCCUCGUUCAUCCAAGCACCAAGCAGUAUCAGACCAACAGGUAGUCACAAUAAUGUUUGAUGCAUGAUGGAGAGUACCACAGGAUUUACAACUGUUACCAGAGCUGAACUCAGUACUCCAGGUGGGGUCUCUCAAGAGCAGAGUAGAGGGGAGAAUGAAGGUGAAGUCUGGAACAAAGAGCUUUCAAUAGAGAAAAAGAGAAGCCUGUUAACUGCAGACUUGUGAGCACUGAGUGCUGGAGCCUGGCUGAAGACUCUUCAGGCACCUGAGACUCCUGGGUCAAGGCUGGAAGCCCCUCUAGAAGAGGAGAAUAUGGAGGUGGAUCAGUUUGAUAUUUUGGUUUAAACAGGUCUAUCAUUCCUAGAGGAAUAAUGUACUGUGUAUGUCAGCUUUACUCCAGGCUUAACAGAGAAAAUACAAAUGUGAUUUGAAUGAAAGAGAAGAAUAAG